UUGCAGAGACAAUUGUAGCCCAGUUCACAGGUGUGGAUGUUGAUCACACUGUAGCAGUAUGAUAACAGGACAACGACAAGCACCAGAAGGUUUAGAUUCGG